UAAGUAAGUGAAGCGCCAGCACUUGUACACGACGGACGGCAAUUCGUGGCAAGUGGACGAGGUGGAGGUGUUCGAGAAUGUUCGGCGGGGACCUCCCGGUGCAUAGCCAGCACCGUAACAUCAUUGCAGAAAACAGCGAGGCAACUUGCUGGACAAUGCAUGAUGAAUGGUUGAA
rnacentral:ncRNA from 2 species